UACGUAGGGGGCAAGCGUUGUCCGGAUUUAUUGGGCGUAAAGAGCGUGUAGGCGGCCAAGCAGGUCUGCUGUGAAAACUCGAGGCUCAACCUCGAGACGUCGGUGGAAACCGUUUGGCUAGAGUCCGGAAGAGGAGAGUGGAAUUCCCGGUGUAGCGGUGAAAUGCGCAGAUAUCGGGAAGAACACCCGUGGCGAAGGCGGCUCUCUGGGACGGGACUGACGCUGAGACGCGAAAGCGUGGGGAGCGAACAGG
rnacentral:rRNA from 1 species